GGUACUAAGGGGCCAAGUCAAGAACCAUGAAAAAAAGCUCCAGAAAUAAAGGAUCCACCAAACUUUACAGCUGGCACUAUGUAUGCAUUGGGGAAUGUAGAGUUCUCCUGGCAUCCACCAAACCCAGAUUAGUCUGUCGGACUGCCAGAUGGUGAAGCGUGAUUCAUCACUCCAGAGAACACGUUGAUCUUAGGCUUGUGUGCGGCUGCUCGGAUAUGGAAACCAAUUUCACGAUGCUCCCAACGAACAGUUCUUGUUCUGAUGUUGCAUCCAGAGACAGCUUGGUACUCAGAAGCGAGUGUUGCAACCGAGGACAGACUACUUUUACGCACUACAGCACUCGGCAGUCCCGUUCUGUGAGCUUGUGUGGUCUACCACUUUGUGGCUGAGCCAUUAUUGCUCCUAGACGUUUCUACUUCACAAUAACAGCACUUACAGUCGACGGGGGCAGCUCUAGUAGGGCAGAUUUUUUUAGGAACUGACUUGUUGGAAAGAAGGAAUCCUAUGACGGUGCCACGUUGGAAGUCACUGAGCUCUUCAGUAAGGCCAUUCUACUGCCAAUGUUUGUCUAUGGAGAAUUCAUGGCGGUGUGCACAAUUCUAUACACCUGUCUGCAACCGGUGUGGCUGAAAUAUCCGAAUGUACUAAUUUGAAGGCGUGUCCACAUACAUUACUAAACUAUAUAUACACUGAAGUAUCCAUCAACCUACGUGACAUCAAAGAGGGCCAACCAACUUUCUGGUAGAGAAUGCAGUGUUCAGAGACACAAAAUGCUUUUUUUGUGCAAAGAUCCGUCCUGCUUUCAGCUGCUUCUGGGAUGGGCUAAUGUUGCAGCCCAUAUUGCCCAUCAGACACAGAUGAGAGAGAGAGGGAGAGUCGGAGGAAGCAUAUGGAAUUAUCUAGAAAUAAACCUCCUCUUGACUAAAAACUUUGCAUGUCAUAGAGUUCUGUGCUAGCUAGAUGUUUGCAUCGUGUCACAGAGGGAGGGUAGAACAUAGUGAUUAAUAUCACAUUCUCAGCAAUGUAUUCAGCAGCCACCUGGGUUUAUACAAAUGUUUAUGAGAAAUUUACUGUAAAAAUUCUGUGUCAUGUGAUCACAAAGAGAUCCCUCUUUAGCACUGCCUUGUGGUUUACAGUGAGAACAGUCUAGGAGAGAUGAUUGUGGCUGAGACAGGUCAAUGGGUUUGUAAAGGAGAGACUAAAUUUGUCCCAAAU
rnacentral:lncRNA from 1 species